UGUCUUCAGGGCGGGGUGCAAUUCCCCACCGGCGGUUACAGCCCGCGACCCUCUACGGAGGCUGACCAGGUGAAAUUCCCGGGCCGACAGUUAAAGUCUGGAUGGGAGAAGAUA
rnacentral:ncRNA from 1 species